CAUGGUCGUAAGUCUUACUCUCAGUACGUCCACCAGGAGAAGGUUGAAAAAAACAAGGACGUGGACUUGGUGGAUUUGUUCGAGAUUAAGCACAAGAAGAAGAAGGAUAAACAAUGGGAACACCCGAUGGUUGAAGAAAUACAUUCUCAGCUCAAGAAGAAGAAGGAGG